UAUUCCUGUCAGGCCGGAGGUGAGGGUGCUCCAGACGGCCUCCCUGAGCCCCAGCCAGCAGCAGCCCUACCUCCUCUCCGAAUAGUGGGUAACAGGACAGGCAAACCGCCCUCCUGCUCCUUCACACAGAAGACCAGGCAAAGAUGGGCCCUUCGCCGGGUGACGGAUUUUCAGAGCCUCUCCACAGCCCCUCCGCCUCCAGCUGUCUGCUCACAGCCUUUUCACCCUGUCUGGGUCACUUCCAGCGUGAAUCCCUCUGACAGACUUCUCUCAGGAAGCGACUCACCUGGCUCCCCGGCCAUCCUUCGAACCCCGCUGCCUGGGUCACGGUGCAUCACAC